UACGUAGGGGGCGAGCGUUGUCCGGAAUCAUUGGGCGUAAAGCGCGUGUAGGCGGCCCGGUAAGUCCGCUGUGAAAGUCCAGGGCUCAACCCUGGGAUGCCGGUGGAUACUGUCGGGCUCGAGUCCGGAAGAGGCGAGUGGAAUUCCUGGUGUAGCGGUGGAAUGCGCAGAUAUCAGGAGGAACACCAAUGGCGAAGGCAGCUCGCUGGGACGUGACUGACGCUGAGACGCGAAAGCGUGGGGAGCAAACAGG
rnacentral:rRNA from 1 species